ACUCUAGUAUUAAGGUCAAUCCAUAUGUAUUGUGGUGGAUUGGAGUGUGACUUAAACUAAUUUACACCUCAAUCCACCUCAACACACAUGGAUUGGGGUCAAUACUAGA
rfam:Zea mays cultivar B73 chromosome 8, whole genome shotgun sequence.